UACGGAGGGUGCAAGCGUUAUCCGGAUUCACUGGGUUUAAAGGGUGCGUAGGAGGGCAGGUAAGUCAGUGGUGAAAUCUUCGAGCUUAACUCGGAAACUGCCGUUGAUACUAUCUGUCUUGAAUACCGUGGAGAUGAGCGGAAUAUGUCAUGUAGCGGUGAAAUGCUUAGAUAUGACAUAGAACACCAAUUGCGAAGGCAGCUGGCUACACGAAUAUUGACACUGAUGCACGAAAGCGUGGGGAUCAAACAGG
rnacentral:rRNA from 1 species